rnacentral:rRNA from 1 species
GACGUAGGGCGCGAGCGUUGUCCGGAUUUAUUGGGCGUAAAGAGCUCGUAGGCGGCUUGUCGCGUCGUUCGUGAAAACCCGGGGCUUAACUCCAAGCUUGCGGUCGAUACGGGCAGACUUGAGUUCGGCAGGGGAGACUGGAAUUCCUGGUGUAGCGGUGGAAUGCGCAGAUAUCAGGAGGAACACCGGUGGCGAAGGCGGGUCUCUGGGCAGUAACUGACGCUGAGGAGCGAAAGCGUGGGGGAGC